UGGCGACAUUCCCACAAGCGCAAGCUGUUUUUGAAACCUACAACAAAAUUUAAAAAAAAAUUCGCAUAUAAUUCUCUGCUUUAAAUUGUUCUUCGCUUUAUUGUGGAUAGCAUUGCAAUAGAAAACACUUUGCCAAUAUUUUGUGGUAUCGCCGUCUGAAUUUUAAUGGCUUUAAGGAAAAUAUGUUGUUUUAGAUUUUCCUGCCAAAACUUAUUAUUCACUUGAUUCAACCUCCUGCCAUUUUUGUAAGAAAAAGAAUCACUUUGAAUCAGUCUGCAAAGCUAAAGCACAGUCAAAAUCACAUGAGAUGCAGUUCUCGAUUUUUGUUUGACAGAUUCACAUAAUGAAAACGGCAUAAGCAAAUUGAAGUGACAUGGUGGCGGCUGUCUCGUCGUGUUGAUCGAAACAUUAGGUCUUUGCUUUGUGGACACGCUUGAUAAAGGGUCUAAUGUUCUUUGAGAAAUUCUGACUAGCGAAAUAAGUCCUCUCAUGUCACUGAAAAAUAUAAUCCAUCCUUGAGCAAAAACGGCUUGGUGAUGGCUAUAAACUUCCAACGUCUUUAAAUGAAAGCUCAAAAUUUGCAAAAUCAAAAUGUCGCGAAAGUAGGGCCAAAUUCGCCAAACACAUAACAAUGUUUUUCGCACAAAACUUUGGAAGACGUACAGUAGACCAGGCAUAACUGUAACCAACAGCCUCAAAGAAACAAAUGAUAAACACAGAAGCUUUGUAAGCAUUCACGAAUUAAAAACAAGGAUUAAGUUUGUCGUUUGACAAGAAAUGCAAGUUAAGUUAACUUACGUUUGUCUUCAUCCUCGAUAUAAUUUUCGCAAAAUAACACUACACAACACAAGGAUAUAGAAUCUUAGUAUCUGGAUAGGCCUCGAGCUUACCUUAAAUAGCAAGUAACGAAAACAUUAGCAACUUUUUCUGCAAGACCUCCUUACACCAGUCGACAUGACCAACCACGAGGGCAAUCCCGUCCACAGAGCCUUUCUCGUUUGUGCGCAUGCGUCGCUGAAACUCAUCGUCUGAUAAGUUUGGUAGAGCUUUUCACGUAUGCAAAACGACUACGCAUGCGCUAGGUUGGAAUUUUAGAUUCAACAAAGAUGGCGGACGCCUGGUGGAUAAUCCAGCCAAAUACUGCCAGGUUUCUACUCAGAACUCAAUAAUUACUUCGGAAUAAGACGACUUUAUUGACUUAGAGUAUCAGUGUGACUCAAAGGGUGGAUAAUUGUGCUCGGAUUUGUUUUAUUAUGAACAAAUUUUCGUAAACUCGUAAUGCCGUUCGCCUCGAAGAACGAGAAAUCAUGCGAGUUGUGGUCUCAAUAUCUAACAAAUGUGAGGUAGCAAACGUUGUAUGUCGGUGACAUUUGCUGCUUGAUCUGAGAAAGAAAUUCUUCGCGACUCUCUAUUGGAGCCAUGCCGAUCAUGGCCCCGAAUUGUGAGUGGGGGUGGCUGUCCAUCAUGUAUAGCUUUCCACGAUGUGCGACAAAACAGACAGUCAUUCCAUUACAAAUCACCAACGCUGCCAAGUUAGGCUCUCGAUCUAACCUCUGGAGUAUAGCUGAUCCACUCGGGGAACCAAGUAGUGGAGCUAAAUGGCUUUUGGCAGCUUCUACACUGAGUCUACACUGAGGCAGCUUCUACAUUUCCUUGUGUCGUGGUAUCGUACGUUCCCCCCUUGCAAUAGCUGUGACAAGUAAAGAGAUCCAUGGAGUACUUAGGGGGGGAAUUGCUGUCCAAUCGAUAACUGUCACGCUUUAUUGUAUGAGUCUAUUGUUCUUGGUGCACAUCCAAAUCUAGUCAGAAGGCCACUGUUGAGGGCAGAUCUUGGCAGUCCAUGCAGGUGGAGAUUGUUUCCUCAAUGGACUCAAAAAGGAGAAAUGACAGAUCAAUGCAAAGGGGAGAGGGUGUGGCAUUAUUUGCUUCGUGCCCUCCUGCCAAUCCCUACCCUCAUCCCCCCACUCUACCCUUGGGUGAUUGAAGAAUCUGGAUAAUUACCUUUAUUUUGAUAUAAGCUAGUCAUUAUCUACUCCCAUUGUUCGGUAUUUAAAACUACAUCUCCUUGGUCAUUUCUUCUGGCCUCACCGACGGGGGUCAUCAGGGCAUUCCAGGAGAGGGGGUCUAGAGGGUUUCUCAUCAAUAUUCCGUAGUUUGUCAGGCACUCUAGUCGGAACAGUAAAGUUUUGAUAUGCUUUCGCAUAUUAUUUAAUGAAGUUAGGUGAUCUUGGGAGGGAUUUUGCAAUGAGUCGCACAAGCGAAUCACAGGUGAAUGGGUAGUAUCCAAUAUCUAUAAACAACAAAAUACAUAUUAUAAUAACAUAUUUUUUUUGUUAUGUCACAAUUAAAAUCAAUUUACACAA